rnacentral:rRNA from 1 species
UACAGAGGUCUCAAGCGUUGUUCGGAUUCAUUGGGCGUAAAGGGUGUGUAGGUGGCGCCGUAAGUCGGGUGUGAAAUUUCGGAGCUUAACUCCGAAACUGCAUUCGAUACUGCGGUGCUUGAGGACUGGAGAGGAGACUGGAAUUUACGGUGUAGCAGUGAAAUGCGUAGAUAUCUGGAGGAAUACCGGUGGCGAAGGCGGCAUCCUGGACCGAGAUUGACGCUGAUGAGCGAAAGCUAGGGGAGCAAACGGG